ACUAUUAUAGCAAAAAAUUGCGCUAAAUUUAGGAUUUAGUUAUGAUUCUAUCUGGUAGUA
rnacentral:tRNA from 1 species